rnacentral:rRNA from 1 species
UACGUAGGGGGCAAGCGUUGUCCGGAUUCAUUGGGCGUAAAGAGCGUGUAGGCGGCCAGGCAGGUCGGUUGUGAAAACUGGAGGCUCAACCUUCAGAGGUCGACCGAAACCAUCUGGCUAGAGUCCGGGAGAGGAGAGUGGAAUUCCUGGUGUAGCGGUGAAAUGCGCAGAUAUCAGGAAGAACACCCGUGGCUAAGGCGGCUCUCUAGUACGGUACUGACGCUGAGACGCGAAAGCGUGGGGAGCGAACAGG